rnacentral:rRNA from 1 species
CCCGCUAAGUUUAAGCAUAUCAAUAAGCGAAGGAAAAGAAACCUACAAGGAUUCUCCCAAUAACGACGAGCGAAUCGGGAAGAGCCCAACUUGAGUAUCGGACGGCCCCACCGUUCGAAUUGUAGUCUAGAGAAGCGUCCUCAGUGGCAGACCAAGCUCAAGUCCCCUAGAAAGGGGCGCCAGAGAGUGUGAGAGCCUCGUCGUGCUCGGACCCUACAGCAUCACAAGGCACUGUCAGCGAGUCGGGUUGUUUGGGAAUGCAGCCCCAAUCGGGCAGUAAAUUUCGUCCAAGGCUAAAUACUGCUUACCAAUGUAUGGAUGGCACGCAACAUGAGGAUAUUUGAGGACUUACGAUCGCUGUUGGAAUGAUCAAAAGACGUGUAUUCAAAGUUAUGUUAUCUGUGUUCGUUUUUUUAUUCAUUGUGAGUCUUUGGCAUUAGGUUUAUAUUACACAUGUAUACAGACAUAAAAAAGGUUGCCCAAGUAUGGUCGGAGUAUUUGUAUGAGUCAUCUUAUUUGACUUGCCUGGGUAUGCCCGAUGUACUUAUAUAUGACUUCUUUAUCAAUAAAAUUUUACAUUUACAAAUCAAAAAUAUUUUUACUUUCCUUGUUUUCCCUCUACUUGAAAAUUUGA